rnacentral:lncRNA from 9 species
GGCGCACCGCUGGCCGCACUGCGCCGGCUUCAUCCGAACCCCGGGAACCCCCGGGAGGCCCAUCUCGCUGCCCUGGGGCCCUGAGACGGCGAUGAGGCCUGGGCAGCUCCACCAGCAGAGGCCUGCAGGGCGGCCCGGGCGGCCCGCAGCUCCCGCCUCCCCGGGCCUUUGUCCACCGCCCUCACACCGGCCCAGCCGCCGGGGCUGCGCAGCUCUGAGCUCGCCCGGAAUGCUGGAGCCCAGGCCCUCCCGAAACCCUCCACCGAGACCCACCACCUUACCGCCUCUGCCCCGGGGCAAGCCUGUGAGAGGCUGCGUCAGAUCGGGUCACUGUCCACGGAAAACCUUCGCUCAGACAGGUCUCCACCAGUCUGGAAGCUCCAGGAGGCCGAGCCUGUGUUCUGCUGGCUGCUGUAUUCCAGGGGCCAGCAGAGUGCCUGAGUGUCCAGGGGUUCAGUAUUUGUGAAAUGGAGGAACGCGUCACCUUAUUACCAAGGCUGAGCCAAGUCUCUGAAACAAGCUCCUGUGGCUCGUGGUUUAACAUGCUCCAUCUGCUACCAGCCUCUGCCCCAUGUGCCCUCCUCCUAGAACCUCUCCCUCUCGUCUCUGGAUAUUCAGAUUCUUCCAGUUUUCAAAGCCAGGCUCCAGUCAGAGCCUCAUCCAGAAGCCUCUCCUGCCAGCCCCAGGCCAGUGCCUCGACAUCCUGCAGCCCCUCCUGGCCACUGGGUGUUUCUGGCUCUUCCGCUGGCCUGGAGGCGCCCCCGCCCCACUGCGGGCCAGCAGGUGUAGCUGAGAGAUCACAGACGGGGCGGGCGAGAAGGAGGCAGGAGGGGCAGGUCCCUACUGGGAGGGGGCUGGGGACGGGAUUAACAGCAGCCUUCCAGCCUCCCAAACCCAGCUGGUUCUGGAAAUGAGGGGCUGGAAAAUGUCAGCCUCAACCCUGGUCCAUCCCCCAGCUCUUCCCGGCGGGUGUUGGGGAGGGCGCCAGUCCUGGGCCUCGCUCCCCCAGGAGCUCAGGGCGCCCAGGAAGGAGUCGGGGGAGCGGGGAAUAAACAGAGGGAAGGGACAGCCUCUGCCUGUCCUCCCCCUUCCCACCCUCCCCCUGCAGGGUGACAAGACAUUUAAUUAUAGAUAUUCGGUACCGCUCAGAAUUCCAAACGUCCUAGUCGCCUCCCCUCCCAGAACCAGUUUCCAUGGAAAAAUCAGAGCAAAGAGCCAAGGAGGGAAAGGAGAGAACCCCACCUCCUGUGGGUUCCUUGCCAAGGAGAGACGGAGAGAAGAAAGGUGACAAAGAGCCACAGCCGGCUGGCCCUGCAAGGCAGGAGCCGGAGGCAGGGGUGGGGGCCGGGGCAGGGCGGUGCAUGGACCUGGCUCUGCCCUGCCCACGAGUGACCCCAAAGUCGGCACUCUCCUUUCUGAGCCUUGAAGCUCUUCCCAUGGCAAACCCAGGCCCCAGUGAAUUAAAUGAGUACCGGGAAGGUGUUCAGGCGGCUGGGGGGGUGCAGGGGACGGCCCCCCGACCCUGCGGCACUCCUCAGAUGGCGGGUCAAUUCCACCAAGAAACAGGGACCCCCUGGGCCCCUUCACCACUAAGACGCUUGAUGAGCUCGUCAAGCCGUGAGGAUCUAGGGUCUGCGCCUCCAAGAACGCGGCCGGGUGAGGUUCUCACAGCUUUCGCAUUUGAAGAGUGAAACCUCCAGAGUGUUGGGCAUACAGUCAGUGUUUAAUAAAUGUUAGCCACUGUUCCUAUU